AGAUGUACGUGCCCCCAAUCCUCCGCAUCACCGACUUGACGGGCGCGGGACCCAUGGGCGACCAACCAACAGCCAAGGCUGAAUCCGGCCGGCGCUGCAUCAGGGUGGAGCGACCACAGCGACCGCGUCGACCUCACCCGCCAUGGUAAGCAGAAGCAGAUCAAGGACGGCCUACCCACAGCUCCUCCUGCUGCAAGGCCAAGAAGAGGCCGGUCGGCGUCCGGAGAUGGCCGACGACCACGCAAAACGGCUCGUCCACUCCGACCUCGACGGCCAAGGAGGAGCUCGUCCGGUCAGAUGACGUCCACCAAUUUAAAGGGCAUUUUAUCAUGCAUAUGAAGCUCAUGACUACAGCCAUCAAAUGCCUCAGUCUGCUCCUGAAGCGGAACCUUGUGGUGGCAAUCUUCCACACAUCAAUCCCAGGGGCCUACCGAAGCUGAGAAGAAAGAGAUGGCGCCACGGUGGCUCUUGGCGACUUCUGGUGACCUUGGCCGUCUUGGAGGCUUGAUGGCAGAGCUGCAGUGAACCCGGAGGACGCCGUUGAGCACCUGACCAAGGCGAUCCAACUGAACCUCAAAAACCAUAUAUGGUACAAAGAGGUCAGUCACAAUAGCAGCAAUGCUUGGAGAGCUUCCUGAGUUCAAAAUGUUGUGACUCUUUGUAUGUGGAGCUGUCCUCCUGAGGAGUUGGAUGCAGAGUGAAUGAACUUCUCAAUCUCGACAUGUAGAUGAAGGGAAAUAGAGGAAGCCGUUGAGCACAUGACCAAGGCGUUCCUACUGAAUCUCAAGAACCAUGUAUGGUACUAAGAGUAAAUGGUCAAUGGUGGUAGACUCAAGAGCUGGAUGUGUGUGAAUUUCGCUCGAAACAUGCAAGACGGUGUUGCCACUGGAUUCUGUCACGAACUGGGUUUCAUGUGCCAAGCCUCAGGCCCCCCCUGACAUGCUUCUGAAGCCUGUUCUUCCGGCUAUAUACAUGCAUCUGGAUCAAGUGGAGCGCAAGGAUCAGUUGACUUUGCUCUGAAAGCUUUGUAACAUCAUGCGAUGACCAUACUCAGACUGCAGCGCGUGGAGCUUGAACAAUGGCUCACUUUACGGUGACCUGAAGCCUAUGCGUGAGAUUGAUCUUGGGCUUCUUUCCCAGUGCUGUUUUGCCAAGUAAGUGUUUCAGGUGAACAAGUAGAUCAUGGCAAGCCUUGCUCUGAAGAUAAAUGUCAAGGCCGAUGCAGUGUUCUAUUCUAAGUUGCAUCCCUGGAUAGGCCUGCGAUAAUAUUCGGCGCCAAUGCCUCAUCCCCAUCCCCAUCCCCAUCCCCAUCCCCAUCGUGGUGAAGAAAACAUCCCUGCCAUCGCCUGCGAUCAUCCGAGCUCUCCAAUGUUGGUUACCAUCGCCAUCCUUAGUACCUAAUUUCUCGGACUCCAUGUGCAAGCUAGUUUAUCUGUUCAUUCAGUUAUCUGAAGUAUCUUCUCAGUCCGCAGCCUAGCAUAAUUGUGUAGAUUAGAUAGAUAGAAACUAUUAUAUCAAUCUAGCAGGGUUCUAGGUAUAUAGAGCCCGCAAUAACGUUGAUCCAUGCAUGGUUUUAAAGGCGUCGCUUAGGCGUCGCUUAAGCGUCCGAGCGGUCCGAGACUGGAAGGCGUUGUCGUCGGCUUUGACUUGAGCGUAAGGCGUCCAAAGGCGUCGCAGAAGCGUCCCAAUUCAUCGCCUAAGCGUGAAAUCACUGCCUUUCAUCGCUUCUGGACGCCUCUGUCCUUGCGCGGGAAACACUGCGCUGGCGGGAGGGAAAACCCAAAUUGGCGGGCUGGAAGUGGAAUUGGGGGCCAGGGAUAGUGGAAAUAGAGAGAAGAGAGAGAGAGGGGGAACAGACCAGGUGAACCGAUUGGGAGAGAAGGGAGAGAGGAGGGAGCUCCUCUCACGCGACCACCCCAGCUCCGGCCAGAUUCGCUCCUGCUCCGCCAUCUGCCGGCCUCUCCAACUCCAGCCAAGCUUCUGGGUCCUCCUCCCCCUGGUGCAGCCCUUUCCAGAGGGGAAACAAGGUGCAGCACUGCAGCCUCCUCAUCCUACCUAGUUGCUGCUUUGUUUCCAGCAAGGCAGCCUCAAAGGCGUCGCCUUGCAACACGCCUUGAGCGCUUAGGCGUUGAGGCGCCCCCCAUCUCCUUGGGUCGCCUUUAAAACCAUGGAUCCAGGGUCGCUUUUGUUUCUCCUCUCCAGGAACUGAAAGAACUCAACCCAACGAUGUCAAUUCUGCAUGUGGAGAUUGAAACUGGUUUACAUCUAUGUUGUCUGUGAUGGCACAGAAUAGAACAAAUCUAUUUGAGCUCUUCAGUGUUAUUGUUGUGCUGGCAGCAUGUGUGAUUAAUAAGCUGUUUUAUCAGCUUUGUGUACAUGUUGUAGUGGUGUACUUAAUAAUUAGUAAUUGAAGCAGCAACACUCAACCAAAUGGCUUGAUUUUUCUCUUAAUUGCCUUUCCUCCCUAUUUCUGUACAAGUAGCCAAAUGGCUUGACUUUUCUCUUAAUUGUCUAGAUUUCUCUUUUGUAGGUGUCUUCUCUAUGCAGCACUCAACUCGAGUAAAGUUUUUUGGGCCUAACAAUGUUCUCUCCAUUGAAUUUCAGGGCGCUACCUGAAAUUGUACUUCUUGGUUUUGAUUUGCAGCAGGAAGAGAAGGCUUCUACUAAGUAAUAGGUGUGUGUUGACGCAUCGGCUGUAUUCUUUUUUGCAGGACAUUUACUCCCUCGGACUCAGGCGCAUCAAAGAUGAGGCCUUGGCUUGGUGCGGUAUUGUCUCACUAUGAUUCGGCCCGCCAUAUUGUUUUGGUGCUGAUGAUAUUCUUGGACAUUGUUCCUCUUUCCAUCAAGUUUUGGUGGCGAGCAUUCUCUAGAGAAGAUCUGCUGCUCUAGCUACUCAGGUCGCUGCUAAUGAAAUUGGUGCAAUACACACUUUCCCAUAUCAAGUGAGGCAGAUGAUCUUCCCUGGAAAGCAUGCAGGGGGGUAUCCACAUUGUCCAGUGUAACAUACGCGAGAGGUGGCUGAGUGUGUUAAAUCCUUAUUAGCAUCUGCAACCUUUGUUACUCAAUGAAUAAUUAUUAAUUCUUAUGAGUUAGUAGCGGGAGCUCAUGCAUGCUUCAAA